rnacentral:sRNA from 1 species
UUUUUUUUUUAACCUAACCGCUACCGCCCGCAACCGCAAACGCUUGUGGGAAGGAGCUUUUGAAAUCUGGCGAUUUCGAGCGGUCCAAAGCGGUAUCUAGCGGUUUCUAUGAUUGGUGUCAACCGCUAAUAACCGCUAUCACCCGCAAACGCAGCGUUUGCGGGUGGCAGAGGGAGAACCAAUCAAGCCCUAAGUAACGAAGGUUAUUACAACAAUUAUGCCGAAAUAUAGUUGUAAAA